CUGGGAAAAAGAGGGGGUUUCAUGGCGGGGGAGAAUCCUGGGGAAAUAGAGGAGAAACUCGCAGAGUAUUGAUGGAAACCGUGCUGCUUCCCAUUAGCCCUGCCAAGAAGCAGGCAAUAACACCACCUGUCUGUUUGGCAGCCACAGGUAUCUACACAUGGUUCGUGUUUUUCCUCUCCAGAUUUCAAGAUUUAGAUUGGAGACCCUACUAGUUUAAUCAACAGGUGAAAUAAAAUGUCAUGAAGCAGAAAUCACCAUCAGCAUUGCUGUGUGGGGAAAAGAAGAGGCAAUCAGGAGUUCUCUCCAGGCACUCUUGUGAGUUACAUAAGGGCUUCCUGUUGAAACCAUUUCUUGGCCCCGGGGCUUCUGUGAAGCCGGCGAGCUAUCCUGUAAGCUGGCACGAUGCCACUGUAACAGAUGGCCAGCAGUGCAGGCAGCAGAGACCAUGGAGGAGCAUCGCAAGUGAAUGCUGAGGGUAUAUACCUUACCACUGGACCGCCAGAAAAAUCCUGAGCAGAAUCUCUUUUACUUUAAAAUCUGCAUUCCUGGGUUAGCUAGUUUUAGAGAAGGGAGACGCGGGUUCAAUCCCUGGAUCAGGAGGAUCCCUUGGAGAAGUAAAGGCAACCCACUCCAGUAUCCUUGCCUGGGGAAUCUCAUGGACAGAGGAACCUGGCAUGCGGGGUCUUUGCUCCCCCAGCAGGGAUGGAACCUGUACCCCUCUGCACCGCCGCGUUGUAAGCAAGCGUGUCUACAUGCUCAGUUGUGUCCAACUCUUUGCGACCCGAUGGACUGUAGCCCUCCAGGCUCCUCCGUCUGUGGGAUUUUUCCAGACAAGAAUACUGGAGUGAGUUGCCAUUUCCUCCUCCAGGGGAUCUUCCCAAUCCAGGGAUAGACCCAGAGUCUCCUGUGUCUUCUGCAUUGGCAGGCGGAUUCUUUACCACUGAGCCACCUGAGAAGUUCCCCCUUGCACUGGAAGGCAAAGUAUUAACCACUGGAUGGCCAGCAAAGUCCCUUGCUUACUUGAUUUUAAUGAAAAGGUGUGGAUCCCUUCUUGACAGCAAGAACCACAGCUUUGCAAACAUGAGAAGCAAACAUACCUUCUUCUGCCUGUGGUUUCAAAACCAUUGGAGGUUAUGGCAUUUUUGGCAGGAUUGGCCACCGAGGAUGAUCCCAGACUUCCCUUCAGGUCCUCUGGCUUCAGUGUGUGCAGCCCAAACCAAUUAGGAUAUGCAUAAUUCCUCUGAGGACUGGAAAUUUUCUUGCACCUGCCAGAACUGUGGUUCCCAAACUUCAAUGUACCUUAGAAUUCCCAGUGAAGCUUGUUGAAACACAGGUUGCUGGGCCCCAUCCUCAGAACAUCUGAUUUAAUAAGUCUGGGGUGGUGCCUGAAAAUUUGUAUUUCUAAGUCCUUCCAUGGUGUUGAUGGUCCUGGUCCAGGGACCACGCUUUGAGAGCCACUGAGCAGUCUGUAAACUUUGGUGAUAAAUUUCAGCUUCUUCCUACUUGAUCCAGAGAUCCUGCCCUUUGCAACCCCCCUAUAAGUAUGUGAGGUGCUCAUCGCAUCCCCCCACCUGUCUGAUUGUUGAAACUUGCAUCACAUGCUUGUUGUUGUUUUGUCCAUGCCUCUUACUCAACAGAUGUUUGAGUAGUUUUCAAAGAUACAAUUUUUAAAGGCAGAAGUAUGAAGAUGAUCAUGCAAAUAAAUCACUUGCGAGUCUCCUGCAAAAAGAGUGAGAAAGUAUUACAUUUAUGUGUUUUCUGUUAGUGUUUUCCUCUUUGGAAUUAUGCUAUUUAUAUCAGUUGGCAUCCUGGUUCUUUUUUCUUUCCACUUUAUGCUGUCACACGAUUGCUCUCGAAUUUAUUUGAAAUUGUAAUAUUAAAUGGCUUCACAAUACUUCAGACAUGAUUAUUAAUAUGGUUUAAUUAUUUUCCCUGUGAUUGAAUACUUGGCUUUUUUUCCUGAUUUUUCAGAUAAGCAGCCAAGUGACACACAUCUUUACGUACAAUUCUUAUUACUUUCUUAAUGUAUUUUCUUAAAAGCUGAGUUACUGGCCCAAAUUAGGAACAUUUUAAAGGGUCUUAACUAAUGCUGAAUUGUUUUCUAAAAACGUCACACCAACAUAUCC
ensembl:lncRNA